ACUCCUACGGGAGGCAGCAGUGGGGAAUUUUGCGCAAUGGGGGAAACCCUGACGCAGCAACGCCGCGUGAGUGAUGAAGGCCCUUGGGUCGUAAAGCUCUGACAGAGGGAAAGAAGUGUAGAGUGGCUAAUAUCCACAUUACUUGACGGUACCCUCAAAGGAAGCACCGGCUAACUCCGUGCCAGCAGCCGCGGUAAUACGGGGGGUGCAAGCGUUGUUCGGAUUUAUUGGGCGUAAAGCGCGUGUAGGCGGUUUUAUAAGUCUGAUGUGAAAGCCCUGGGCUCAACCCGGGAAGUGCAUUGGAUACUGUAAGACUUGAAUACGGGAGAGGGCAGUGGAAUUCCUAGUGUAGGAGUGAAAUCCGUAGAUAUUAGGAGGAACACCGGUGGCGAAGGCGGCUACCUGGACCGAUAUUGACGCUGAGACGCGAAAGCGUGGGUAGCAAACAGGAUUAGAUACCCUGGUAGUCCACGCCGUAAACGAUGAGAACUAGGUGUCGCGGGUA
rnacentral:rRNA from 1 species